rnacentral:rRNA from 1 species
CAGUAGCCGCGGUAAUACGGAGGGUGCAAGCGUUAAUCGGAAUUACUGGGCGUAAAGCGCACGCAGGCGGUCUGACAAGUCAGAUGUGAAAUCCCCGGGCUUAACCUGGGAACUGCAUUUGAAACUGUCAGGCUGGAGUCUUGUAGAGGGGGGUAGAAUUCCAGGUGUAGCGGUGAAAUGCGUAGAGAUCUGGAGAAAUACCGGUGGCGAAGGCGGCCCCCUGGACAAAGACUGACGCUCAGGUGCGAAAGCGUGGGGAGCAAACAGGAUUAGAUACCCGGGUAGUCCCUGUCUCUUAUAC